CUACUUUUGCCGGCGAGCGGCGGACGGGUGAGUAAUGCCUGGGGAUCUGCCCAGUCGAGGGGGAUAACAGUUGGAAACGACUGCUAAUACCGCAUACGCCCUACGGGGGAAAGGAGGGGACCUUCGGGCCUUUCGCGAUUGGAUGAACCCAGGUGGGAUUAGCUAGUUGGUGGGGUAAUGGCUCACCAAGGCGACGAUCCCUAGCUGGUCUGAGAGGAUGAUCAGCCACACUGGAACUGAGACACGGUCCAGACUCCUACGGGAGGCAGCAGUGGGGAAUAUUGCACAAUGGGGGAAACCCUGAUGCAGCCAUGCCGCGUGUGUGAAGAAGGCCUUCGGGUUGUAAAGCACUUUCAGCGAGGAGGAAAGGUUGGCGCCUAAUACGUGUCAACUGUGACGUUACUCGCAGAAGAAGCACCGGCUAACU
rnacentral:rRNA from 1 species